CACAUGACUCUCGGCAACGGAUAUCUCGGCUCUUGCACCGAUGAAGAACGUAGCAAAAUGCGAUACCUGGUGUGAAUUGCAGAAUCCCGUGAACCAUCGAGUUUUUGAACGCAAGUUGCGCCCGAGGCCUUUUGACCAAGGGCACGUCUGCCUGGGCGUCACGC
rnacentral:rRNA from 2 species